GCCUCGGAGGGACGCCGCGUGCAGCACCCGCUGUUGUCGGGUCAUUCACCACGGCCAGGCCAGGCACAAAACGUUGUGUAAUCAUUUCUUCUCACACUAGUCCUUCUAACAGAUACUCCUGCUGUAACACAGUCAUUGGAUGCAUGUUGUUCCAUUGGACGAGACUUGACUUUGAACAGUAUGACACUCUUCAUGAAAUGGCAAUAUCUGAAAUGGAUGCAACUGACAAUAGCCUACACCUCCAGUAUUUGUGCUUAGUACCAAAAGAGGAAUUUGCACUCACCAGAACGUAUUGUUGGGGAAAUAUAAUUUAAAAAGGAAACCUUUUCACAGACAACAAGACCUCUUCACAGAGGUA